rnacentral:rRNA from 1 species
ACGAACGCUGGCGGCAGGCUUAACACAUGCAAGUCGAGCGCUACCUUCGGGUGGAGCGGCGGACGGGUUAGUAACGCGUGGGAAUAUACCCAGUUCUAAGGAAUAGCCACUGGAAACGGUGAGUAAUACCUUAUACGCCCUUCGGGGGAAAGAUUUAUUGCCUUUGGAUGAACCCGCGUAAGAUUAGCUAGUUGGUGAGGUAAUGGCUCACCAAGGCGACGAUCUUUAGCUGGUCUGAGAGGAUGAUCAGCCACAUUGGGACUGAGACACGGCCCAGACUCCUACGGGAGGCAGCAGUGGGGAAUAUUGG